AGAUUGCAGCAGAAAACAUAACAGAAUUUCUGAGAAAAGCGAGCGUGGAAAGCGAUAAAUUUCGAGCAGCUGCACCAAUCGCAAAUAUUCCAAACGGCACAUGCUUGACAGAAUACAAGAGGAUUAAAUGCAAAACGUUUGUACCAACAUGCUCAGGAUCCAGUAAUAUUACUAAAGAAAGUUGUGAACAGAAACUGCAGUGGUAGGAAUAUUAAUAAUGAUUAUACUUUAACUCCCGUCUACAUUUGCAAUUUUUGCUGCAGUUUUCCUCUUCUGAUGGAACGAGCGGAUUGGUUACGAAAGUUCUUAUAAUAUGUACCCUCAUCUGGACAUUCAUAAGUCUCACCCACUCGUUCACAAAUAGGGCCUUUAUCUGCAUUCUUAUUCAGAUAUAAUCAUUUGGGCAGGAAACAUGUAGGUACUUAUUAAUCUGUUGAUUGACAAAUGUGUGGGCCAUCAAAAGAGUUUUGCAUGCAGGUAAAAAGUAAAGAUUCCACACAGAAGGAAAAAAUCCAAUUCUAACUUGCGUCACAGUCCUAAUUUAAAUGCUUUGCAUGGCAUCCUGCAUUGCGUAUAAUUUCCAAAGAAGAGCGGUCAACAUUUACAGGAAUGGCGAAACGAACUGCUUCAGACGAGCAAGUUUUCUGUGACAAGUUUUUAUGUAACAAGUUUUAUUUGCUCGUCUGUACGCGCAACUUUGACAAAUUUUUCUAUGACAAGUGCACUUGUUCAAAAGCUAGCAUGCUAGCUUUUGAACAAGUGCGCUUGUCACAGAAAAAAAUUUCAAAGUUGCGCGUACAGACGAGCAAAUAGAACUUGUCAAGCAAAAAAAAAAAUAUAGAAAACUUGCUCGUCUGUAACCGGUUUUAUUCAGAGUGCCAGUUGGAUUAUAAGUCGAUUGUCCUCAACAUGUGUUAUGCUCAGUUGAGCAAACUUAAAACCACAUCUUAGGUCUGUUUCAAACGUCGCGUUCGGCGUUUCUCAUAUGCUGAACGCAUUAGAAACAAUAGAUAAUAAGGCAUUUCCCAAAUUGAAACUACUGGGAGUAACAUUCCAGUCCAAUUGCAAAUUUACAGAACAUGUAAAGAAUAUGUUAUAUAGUGCAAAUAAAAGUUUAUACGUGAUACGAUCGUUACGAAAGGAAGGACUUUGUCAACGGGAGUUGAAUUUGCUUUUCAACUCUCUUGUAAUCUCAAAGAUAUCGAAUGGUCUAUCUGUCUAUGGUUCGUCUACCCCAGAUUUAUAUACAGUGCAGUGCUUCUUAACUAGAUGUUUUAAACGUAAUUAUUCUAGCAAUUGCAAACAUUACGAUAUAUACAAACUAUUAGAGAGAAGUGAUCGUAACAUUUGGAGAAAGAUAAAAAAUAACGAUAAUCAUCCGCUUAAACAUAUGCUACCUAUAGUCAAAGAUUCAUCCGGCGUCUGCGUAACAAAAGCUCACUGUGGCCAAAAUGUAACACAGAACGCUUCAAGAAUAGCUUUUUUAAUAGACUGAUUUUUAAGUAUAAUUUGCAUGUUGAUAAUGAAUAGAAUAGUUUUAGUAUUAUUGAUGUAUUAAGUAGCUUCUGUGUUACAAUUUUUUUUUAAAUAUGUAAAUUUGAUAUGUAUUUUUAUCAAAUGAUUAAUAAAGACCAAUAAUAAUAAUAAUAAUUUCAGCUGAUUAUCUAAAUGUUUUUAAUGCGUUCGGCACUGUGAGAAGCGCGAUGUUUGAAACAGACCUUGUGCUCUGUGCAAACAUCAACAAUUCUCGAGGCUUUAGGAUUGCCUACUGCAGCCCUACAUUUUCCAACUAGUACGCUUCGUAAAAUCAAUGUUAUUGACUCAAACAUGCAGUCGAUUAGAUUUGAUCGACGCGCUUCCGCCGCUAAGAAAGCUGAGCGAGUAAACUGAACAGUAUAAUAAUUAUACAUUUGCAAACAGAAAAGCACAGGAUCGACCGUUCUUUAAUAGUUUGUGUGAUGUUUUAUUUCAAAUCAUCAUCAUGCAGUUUGAUUUUCAUAUGGUACAUUUUAUAUACUUUAUCGGGUUUUUCAGGUAUAUUAUUUUGUCGGCACGUCCCCAGUGAGCGUGAAUUCUACACAUGCAUUCACUGAUGUUAAUUAGAGCAAAACGGCUUCGUCGCAACUACCACUUCUUACCAUAGGCGGAUAACGGAACUGAAAAAAUUAGGGGUCGGACAAUAAAUUGCCCAACAUUGAUGAACAAUUGCCCGAUAAAUACAAGUUCGCCAUAACAUUCCCCAACGUUAGAUAUCCCUUGAUUAAUUUGCCUGAAUGGCAAACAGAAUUGACAGAUUUUUAAACAGAAUCUUGCCAAUUUUUAAGUGGAAUUGCCCGAUUAAGUAGAAUCCGUGCGACUAUGUAGAAAUAUAUUAUUGGGGGGGGGGGGGGNNNNNNNNNNNNNNNNNNNNGAAAAAAUUUUUUUUGGGGGGGGGGGGGGAAGCUGCAUCCCCCAGCCCCUUUUCGUACGCCUAUGCCUCUUACGAACUGUUGCUCGCUCAGAACCCUGCAUAUUUCAUUAACUUUAAGACUUUAUGGGCAAGCAACAUGUACGUACAAAGGUCAAUUUUAAUUUUAUUGUACCAUCGGACGGGAUGUUUAUGUAUUAGAAUGUAACUCACUAUAGCAAAUAUUUGCGCGGCUGAAACGUUAAACGUUUGACAUGUUUAACAAGCUAUAUAGUUGCCUCUCGAAGUUUCUAGUACUCUGAAAUAACAAACCAAUCAACCUUUAGCACUUUCAUUUAUUAAUAUGCUAUCAUUAAUUUUGCUGAUAAAGUGUAAACAAUGUAAUGCCGUACAUCCGUUGGUUUACGAUAUAUUAAUUAGUCCUGCAAUUAAUUAAGAAAAGACAAACCAAUAAUUAUUGUCUUGGUCUGGAUGAUUUAAGGAUUAAUCUACAAUAUUGUUUUUGGACUUAUUUACUAUUAAGCGAGAUAACCCUUACGUCACGUAAUUCAUUACUUAUAACGUCAUGAAAUAGUUGUUUUAAUUUAAAUUAUGCAUGGCGAUCAGGUCGCUUUCUGGUGGCGGAUUCGGAUAAGAUCCCCUAUAUAUAAUUACAUUUCCGCAGACAGGCAGAUAGUGAACGAAAUCAGGUAUAGAGUAUCAGGUCUUCUCAUAUAUUUGGUAUUUGGGCAUUACGGAGGCACAGUAGCCAGAAUAGGGCGCCUUGUGGGUUCGGGGAGUCGUCGCUCCGGACUCCUGUGCCAAAGGGCCAAUCAAGCGGUUUACCCGCCUAUCCGAAAAUGUUGACUGGAUUGGUUGAGAUAAAUCCCGAACUCGAUAUAGUCGUACUCCGCGUUGAUCGGAUAUGAGUCGUACGGUGGCAGCUAGAGGCGCCCUUAUUAAGCCGUAGUAGACUCGAUAUGCUCGAGCUGUGUCUUCGUCGCGUAUAAUUCAGGGUCAUAUCAGGGAAUGUUAAAGCUUGAGGAAGUAUUACAAAAAGUACCACCUGAAAAUCAAAUUACCAUCUGAAACAAAAACAUAUUUAAUUGAUUAUUGGACUAAACCCAUCAGAUUGUUAAAGAUCGACUGCAUCCUGUGGUUUUUCAGGUUUUAAUAUAGCGUAGUAUAUAUACUGUUUUACUGCUUUAGUAGCGCGAUAUGUACCUUUAAGGCAAAUUUCCACCCGGAAAAUAAGCAGCGGAUCGGACUGGAUCGCAACAAAACAAAAUCGGCGCAUGCGUCAUCAGUACAAAAAUUUUUGGUUCCGAUUGAUCCAGCGAAGUUGCUAGCCGGAUAAUAAAAGUUAAUAUUUUCAAUUUGUAUUGGUCCGGUCCCGCGGAUUAAACCUGGCGACCAAUCAAAAUUCCGUAUUAUCUCACAUAAAUUAAAAUAAUUAAAUAAUACCUAUAUAAAAUUUACAAAAUGGAGGAUGUGAGACUGGAACGAGCUCCAAUUUUUCAUUUUCCGAUCCGAUCAUUCCAUUUGUCCUUUUACUGGAAAUCGCUUGUUGGAUCGGACCGGAUCGGAGAAACCUCUGAUCCGGUCCGUCCGCUACUUAUUUUCCGGAGUGGAAAUUAGCUAGCCUUUAAUCGAUUGCCUGCAUGGAUCAACAACGUUGUUUUCAGAAAGGGUACCAGUAAGAAAAUGUAGGGCAUUAUAUCCUCAUAAAAGCCUUAACAAUCGUUGCAUGAUAGUUUCGCAGAGCGUAAGAUGUGGUUUUUGUCGAAUGAACAUAACAUAUACUACCGGGAUAAUAAAUUCAAAGUCUGCUGUUUUGUCCAAUUCUGGAUAAAAUAUACAACUCAUUUUACCAUUCCCGCCUGUAAACUCGACGAUCGAGUCUUCAACGGUGUUGACAACCGCAAAAGACCAAUCAACUAAAAUACCCUCUUUUGGGAAAACCUUGACCACUCUGGAUCAUGUUAGAUGUAUUUUAGCAUUUGGACUUGGGUGGCGCAAUCGUCACAGCAAUUUCCUUUCACCUCUGAGACCUCUGAGAUCGUGGGUUCGAUCCUUGAUCCGGACUUAAGACGUGAGAAGAGUUAGUCAACGCUAUACGGCAAGUCGUGGAUUUUUCCGGGUUCUCCGGUUUCCUUCCACAUGGAAUAGUAUUGACAGAGUGGGAUGGGAGUGGCCCCUAAUUGACCAUUCCACAGUAUCCGUGUUCCGUAAUCAGAUUCCGUAAUCAACCAAUAAGGUAGUUGCCCGUGCACUACAUUAUACCGGAGAGCUUUCCGUAGCGGCGCAAAAAGGCAUGUACGUAUCCGAUACGGAAUGUACAACUUUCAGAAGCUGAGCGAAACAACAUCUCUCCAGCUCCGUUGCAAUAAUAGACAUCCCAAAAUAGCGUUGCAAUGUUCCUUAAACGUACGAAUAGGUGAUUUUCACGUCGUUACCUACGAAAAGCUAUCCGGUAUAGUGUAAAUUACGUACCCUUAGACAGCUUUCCAUUCGAUCAAGUUAAUUGAGCUGCUUCUUUCGGCUUAGCUAUACGAGCUCUAUCAUGCAAAAUUCCGCAAAAAUUAGUUAGUUUUAAGGGGACAUCCGCGUUAGCAAAUACAACAACAACAACAACAACAACAACAACAACAACAACAACAACAACAACAACAACAACAACAACAACAACAACAACAACAAUUGAUUUGUUACCCAGAAAUUGAAAGUUACAUGAAGUAAAAUAGAUAUACAAGACGAUGGGUAUGGGUUCCCCAAAAUAACUAAUAAGCUAAAAUUCAUUGGAAAGCCCAAAUAGUGAAGACCGAAUACGUCGCUUGCUUAAGUUCACUAAUACCUAAUCCACUUAUUUUGCCAUUUUUCAACAGUUUAUCAUCAAAUGUUUUCUUCAACAAGACAAGACUUUGUUCCAAUUUUCCAUCUAAACCUCUAC
rnacentral:lncRNA from 1 species